GACGAACGCUGGCGGCGUGCCUAAUACAUGCAAGUAGAACGCUGAAGAGAGGAGCUUACUCUUCUUGGAUGAGUUGCGAACGGGUGAGUAACGCGUAGGUAACCUGCCUUGUAGCGGGGGAUAACUAUUGGAAACGAUAGCUAAUACCGCAUAACAAUGGAUGACACAUGUCAUUUAUUUGAAAGGGGCAAUUGCUCCACUACAAGAUGGACCUGCGUUGUAUUAGCUAGUAGGUGAGGUAAUGGCUCACCUAGGCGACGAUACAUAGUCGACCUGGGAGGGUGGUCGGCCAAACUGGGAAUAAGACACGGCCCAGACUCCUACGGGAAGGAGCAGUAGGGAAUCUUCGGCAAUGGGGGCAACCCUGACCGAGCAACGCCGCGUGGGUGAAGAAGGUUUUCGGAUCGUAAAGCUCUGUUGUAAGUCAAGGACGGGUGUGAGAGUGGAAAGUUCACGCUGUGACGGUAGCUUACCAGAAAGGGACGGCUAACUACGUG
rnacentral:rRNA from 1 species